rnacentral:rRNA from 1 species
UACGUAGGGAGCAAGCGUUGUUCGGAAUUAUUGGGCGUAAAGAGUGUGUAGGCGGUGCUCUAAGUUCGUUGUGAAAUCUCCCGGCUUAACUGGGAGGGUGCGGCGGAAACUGGAGUGCUUGAGCGCGGGAGAGGAAAGCGGAAUUCCUGGUGUAGCGGUGAAAUGCGUAGAUAUCAGGAGGAACACCGGUGGCGAAGGCGGCCUUCUGGACAGUGACUGACGCUGAGACGCGAAAGCGUGGGGAGCAAACAGG